AUGUACAUUCCUACAACAUAGCGUUAAUGCACCGUAUCCCAUUAGAACUCCGCAAUUAAGUUCACUCGGGCUAGAGUAGUACUGGGAUAGGUGACCGCUCGAGAAUUCCUAAUGUUUUACAUG
rnacentral:rRNA from 1 species